rnacentral:rRNA from 1 species
CUGAAUAUGGGGGGACCAUCCUCCAAGGCUAAAUACUCCUGACUGACCGAUAGUGAACCAGUACCGUGAGGGAAAGGCGAAAAGAACCCCGGCGAGGGGAGUGAAAAAGAACCUGAAACCGUGUACGUACAAGCAGUGGGAGCCUCUUAAUGGGGUGACUGCGUACCUUUUGUAUAAUGGGUCAGCGACUUAUAUUCUGUAGCAAGGUUAACCGAAUAGGGGAGCCGAAGGGAAACCGAGUCUUAACUGGGCGUUAAGUUGCAGGGUAUAGACCCGAAACCCGGUGAUCUAGCCAUGGGCAGGUUGAAGGUUGGGUAACACUAACUGGAGGACCGAACCGACUAAUGUUGAAAAAUUAGCGGAUGACUUGUGGCUGGGGGUGAAAGGCCAAUCAAACCGGGAGAUAGCUGGUUCUCCCCGAAAGCUAUUUAGGUAGCGCCUCGUGAAUUCAUCUCCGGGGGUAGAGCACUGUUUCGGCAAGGGGGUCAUCCCGACUUACCAACCCGAUGCAAACUGCGAAUACCGGAGAAUGUUAUCACGGGAGACACACGGCGGGUGCUAACGUCCGUCGUGAAGAGGGAAACAACCCAGACCGCCAGCUAAGGUCCCAAAGUCAUGGUUAAGUGGGAAACGAUGUGGGAAGGCCCAGACAGCCAGGAUGUUGGCUUAGAAGCAGCCAUCAUUUAAAGAAAGCGUAAUAGCUCACUGGUCGAGUCGGCCUGCGCGGAAGAUGUAACGGGGCUAAACCAUGCACCGAAGCUGCGGCAGCGACACUAUGUGUUGUUGGGUAGGGGAGCGUUCUGUAAGCCUGUGAAGGUGGCCUGUGAGGGUUGCUGGAGGUAUCAGAAGUGCGAAUGCUGACAUAAGUAACGAUAAAGCGGGUGAAAAGCCCGCUCGCCGGAAGACCAAGGGUUCCUGUCCAACGUUAAUCGGGGCAGGGUGAGUCGACCCCUAAGGCGAGGCCGAAAGGCGUAGUCGAUGGGAAACAGGUUAAUAUUCCUGUACUUGGUGUUACUGCGAAGGGGGGACGGAGAAGGCUAUGUUGGCCGGGCGACGGUUGUCCCGGUUUAAGCGUGUAGGCUGGUUUUCCAGGCAAAUCCGGAAAACCAAGGCUGAGGCGUGAUGACGAGGCACUACGGUGCUGAAGCGACAAAUGCCCUGCUUCCAGGAAAAGCCUCUAAGCAUCAGGUAACAUCAAAUCGUACCCCAAACCGACACAGGUGGUCAGGUAGAGAAUACCAAGGCGCUUGAGAGAACUCGGGUGAAGGAACUAGGCAAAAUGGUGCCGUAACUUCGGGAGAAGGCACGCUGAUAUGUAGGUGAAGCGACUUGCUCGUGGAGCUGAAAUCAGUCGAAGAUACCAGCUGGCUGCAACUGUUUAUUAAAAACACAGCACUGUGCAAACACGAAAGUGGACGUAUACGGUGUGACGCCUGCCCGGUGCCGGAAGGUUAAUUGAUGGGGUUAGCGGCAACGCGAAGCUCUUGAUCGAAGCCCCGGUAAACGGCGGCCGUAACUAUAACGGUCCUAAGGUAGCGAAAUUCCUUGUCGGGUAAGUUCCGACCUGCACGAAUGGCGUAAUGAUGGCCAGGCUGUCUCCACCCGAGACUCAGUGAAAUUGAACUCGCUGUGAAGAUGCAGUGUACCCGCGGCAAGACGGAAAGACCCCGUGAACCUUUACUAUAGCUUGACACUGAACAUUGAGCCUUGAUGUGUAGGAUAGGUGGGAGGCUUUGAAGUGUGGACGCCAGUCUGCAUGGAGCCGACCUUGAAAUACCACCCUUUAAUGU